rnacentral:rRNA from 2 species
UUCGCAAUGCCCGAAAGGGUGACGAAGCGACGCCGCGUGGGUGAGGAAGGCCUUCGGGUUGUAAAGCCCUGUCAGGAGUUAAGAAAUGUAGGUGCGCUAAUAUCGUGCCUAUUUGACAAAGGCUCCAAAGGAAGUCACGGCUAACUCUGUGCCAGCAGCCGCGGUAAUACAGAGGUGGCAAGCGUUGUUCGGAAUUAUUGGGCGUAAAGAGCACGUAGGUGGGUUUGUAAGUCAGAUGUGAAAGCCUCCUGUUCAACGGGAGAAUUGCAUCUGAAACUACUGAUCUUGAGUAUAGGAGGGGAGAAUGGAACUUCUGGUGGAGCGGUGAAAUGCGUAGAUAUCAGAAGGAACGCCGGCGGCGAAAGCAAUUCUCUGGCCUAUUACUGACACUCAGUGUGCGAAAGCUAGGGGAGCAAACGGGAUUAGAUACCCCGGUAGUCCUAGCCGUAAACGAUGGGCACUAAGUAGAGGGGUUUU